GCCGGGCAUGGUGGCAGGUGCCUGUAGUCCCAGCUACUCAGGAGGCUGAGGCAGGAGAAUCGCUUGAACCCAGGAGGUUGAGGUUGCAGUGAGCCGAGGUGCGCCACUGCACUCCAGCCUGAGUGACAGAGUGAGACCUUGUCUCUA
rnacentral:SRP_RNA from 1 species